rnacentral:rRNA from 1 species
UACAGAGGUCCCGAGCGUUGUUCGGAUUCACUGGGCGUAAAUGGUGCGUAGGUGGUGAGGUAAGUCGGAUGUGAAAUCUCCGGGCUCAACCCGGAAAUGGCAUUGGAAACUACCUUGCUGGAGGAUUUGAGGGGGGAUUGGAAUACUUGGUGUAGCAGUGAAAUGCGUAGAUAUCAAGUGGAACACCAGUGGCGAAGGCGAAUCCCUGGAAAAUACCUGACACUGAGGCACGAAAGCUAGGGGAGCAAACAGG